rnacentral:rRNA from 1 species
UACGUAGGGUGCAAGCAUUAAUCGGAAUUAUUGGGCGUAAAGGGCGCGUAGGCGGAUAAAUAAGUCAGAUGUGAAAUUUCGAGGCUCAACUUCGAAGCUGCAUUUGAAACUAUUAAUCUCGAGGAUUGGCGGAGAGAACGGAAUUCCACGUGUAGCGGUGAAAUGCGUAGAUAUGUGGAAGAACACCGGUGGCGAAAGCGGUUCUCUAGCUUAUACCUGACGCUGAGGCGCGAGAGCAAGGGGAGCAAACAGG